GCAGCUGGGCCGCGUUAUAAGCUGUCUUUGUCUUAUUCAGUGUCCCAUAAUGGAUUUGCUAGAACAUGCCAUCUGAAUCAGGGAAAUGCAAUUACUGACUGCCGUUGCUUCCAGUAAGUGGCCAACUCUGCCAAUCUGGCUUAAGAAUGUAGCCCGUUAAGCUCAGCCAUGGGGGCCGUUCUGACGAGGGCCUGUUCCGCAGGCGCUGGGCACACGGCAGGGCCCUUGUCCCACUUUUUAACUGCUUUUGGAGACGUUCUGAGUGGCACCAGUGAAAUUUUCCCUGGCAAAUGAAAGUGCUCCCUCCCCAGGGCAACUGGCUCUCCAGCAGGAUGGGGAGGGAGUAUUUCUACACACCCAAGCCACCUAGAGCUCCCAUUCAGCAGCCCGAGAUGCCUGGAAGUCAAGUGGGGACACGCUGAGUCAGCACUAAACAAAUCAUGGCAUUGGAGUCUUUUAGAGUUGGAAGGAGUGUGGGGAUGGUUACACCAAAGACAACGUCAAGGUCCACGACAGAGUGUCUGGGAAUUGCUGUUACCCCGGCAUGAGCCUUUUAGACGCUGGGAUCCACAGCAGGACGGAAGCUGAACUGGGGUACGAGGCACAGGCGUGAUCUCGGUGAGCAACAAAGAGUGAAAGAAGUGUGUGAUUGGGACUGGUUAGUGCCUGGCGUUUCCCAGCAUGCUUAGCUACUGUCACAUCUGCCCCAUUAAGACAGACAGACACUGCCAUGGCUUUGCAGUCCUCUGUAAACACACAGUGAAAUUUAUUUGCCGCUGUGGAGGCCUGAGGGAUGAGGCCUUCGCACAGAUUAGCGGGUGAAGGGGUGGUGAGGAGGCGGGCUGCAGGGUGUGCUCUAUCUUCCUUGGUCCAGCCAUCCUCAGCUUCGCCAUUUUAGAGCGCAGCCAAGGAGGCCGUCAUCAGAUUUAUCCCCUCGAUUUUAGACUUCCCCGUCUCCACAAUGAUGAGCUACACCAACUUCUAUGGUUUAUAGUUUACACCGUCUGUGUGACGCUGUGAUAGGAACAAUAGGCCAACUACCAUACACACUCAUUUGGGACCAGGCAUUAGCACUGGCUGAAGAGGACACCAACAAGUGUAAGACACACACCACCAGCCUCAGGAUACACGACGGAGCAAGGAGAGAACCAUGCUGCUUCAUGAGCACCAUGUGCACAAUGUCUGACAGGUGGAGGUGAACCCAGGCGCCUCUAAGCCAGUUUUUCUGGCUUCCGGGUAAUAAACGAAAUAAGGAAGGCUUUAAGCUCCACAAGGAAGGAUGGUAUCUGGUGAGGAAGAUGUAUGUGGUGUGCGGAAUGCCAGAGGCUUGGGGAACACUGAAUUGGGUUUGGGUGAGUGGCAAGAAAUAAACUCAGUCUAAGUCUGGCACCUUAGAGGGGGAAGGGGUCAGUGCUCAUUCCUCAGGGGACUCUGAAAUGGCAGCUGAAUUCAAAUGUCUGUCUUUCCCACACUUGGAUGGCAUUUGAGAAGAGUUCUGGGAUGCUGAGGGCUGCUGGAGAAAUGAAAACGGCAGGAUUGUGUGUGACAGCCCACAUAUGCAAGGACCUGUAUCCAUCAAUGGAUGGAUAAGGGCAGCUUGUAUGAAGCCUCACAGGAAGAAGAAAUCCAGUCAUUUGAGACAACACAGAUGGACCUAGAAUUGUGAUCAAUAAAAUGCCCUGAGCGCAGAAGAUAAAUGUUUUACUCAUUGCAUUGUUGUUGUGUAGACCCUGGUGAGGCUGGACUCUCAGAAGCUGA